GAAAGGAUUUAUUCGGUAAAAGAUGGGCCCGCAUCUGAUUAGCUAGUUGGUGAGAUAAUAGCCCACCAAGGCAACGAUCAGUAGCCGACCUGAGAGGGUGACCGGCCACAUUGGGACUGAGACACGGCCCAAACUCCUACGGGAGGCAGCAGUGGGGAAUAUUGCACAAUGGGGGAAACCCUGAUGCAGCAACGCCGCGUGAAGGAAGACGGUUUUCGGAUUGUAAACUUCUAUCGAUAGGGAAGAAAGAAAUGACGGUACCUAAAUAAGAAGCCCCGGCUAACUACGUGCCAGCAGCCGCGGUAAUACGUAGGGGGCAAGCGUUAUCCGGAAUUACUGGGUGUAAAGGGAGAGUAGGCGGCAAGGUAAGCGAUAUGUGAAAGCCUUAGGCUUAACCUGAGGAUAGCAUAACGAACUAUCUAGCUAGAGUACAGGAGAGGAAAGCGGAAUUCUUAGUGUAGCGGUGAAAUGCGUAGAUAUUAGGAAGAACACCAGUGGCGAAGGCGGCUUUCUGGACUGAAACUGACGCUGAGGCUCGAAAGCGUGGGGAGCGAACAGGAUUAGAUACCCUGGUAGUCCACGCUGUAAACGAUGAGUGCUAGGUGUCGGGGAGGAAUCCUCG
rnacentral:rRNA from 1 species